rnacentral:rRNA from 1 species
GACAGAGGGUGCAAACGUUGCUCGGAAUUACUGGGCGUAAAGCGCGUGUAGGCUGACCGGAAAGUCGGGCGUGAAAGCCCUGGGCUCAACCCAGGAACUGCACUCGAAACUCCCGGUCUAGAGUGGUGGAGAGGGAAGUGGAAUUCCUGGUGUAGAGGUGAAAUGCGUAGAUAUGUGGAGGAACACCGAUGGCGAAGGCAGCCCCCUGGGUCAACACUGACGCUCAUGCACGAAAGCGUGGGGAGCAAACAGG